UACGAAGGGUGCUAGCGUUGUUCGGAAUUACUGGGCGUAAAGGGCGCGUAGGCGGCUCGACAAGUUGGAUGUGAAAGCCCAGGGCUCAACCCUGGAAUUGCAUUCAAGACUGUCCUGCUUGAAUUCGGUAGAGGUUGGUGGAAUUCCCAGUGUAGAGGUGAAAUUCGUAGAGAUUGGGAAGAACACCCGUGGCGAAGGCGGCCAACUGGACCGACAUUGACGCUGAGGCGCGAAAGCGUGGGGAUCAAACAGG
rnacentral:rRNA from 1 species